UUAACUAUUAGAUAGUACUCAGACGACACUAACAUUCAGGGUCUGGGAUCCUCUGGCGGGCGCUCACCAGCCGGGGCCGGUGGCCGAGGCGGCCCGCCAAAGCAACAAUGUAUGGAGACACGGGUGGGAGAUCUACCCCGGGGGGCAUGAACUCUGUAAUGAUCCCUCCGCAGGUUCACCUACGGAGA
rnacentral:misc_RNA from 1 species